UACGUAGGGGGCAAGCGUUGUCCGGAUUCAUUGGGCGUAAAGAGCUCGUAAGCGGUUCAGUAAGUCGGGUGUGAAAUCUCCGUGCUCAACACGGAGCGGCCACCUGAUACUGCUGUGACUCGAGUCCGGUAGGGGAGUGUGGAAUUCCCGGUGUAGCGGUGAAAUGCGCAGAUAUCGGGAGGAACACCAGUAGCGAAGGCGGCACUCUGGGCCGUGACUGACGCUGAGGAGCGAAAGCGUGGGUAGCAAACAGG
rnacentral:rRNA from 1 species